AUUUGCCUGAGUUCAAACAGCUGAUAAAAGAGAGUCAAGUUUCAGAUCCAAAUAUAGGAAGUUUGGCUUCAGCAUCCAGGUUCUUUCCCAUCAUACCACACUCAAUUAUUCUACAAUAGAACACUGGAGAGAAAGAGAUGCAGGUGGGGAGGAAGGAGGCAGGAAUAAUGGGAAUAGGUGGAAGAGAAGGCGGAAGAUGUAUUUAUCCGGAUACAAUCAAAGAACCAUUUCAGAGGAAAAAGGAGAAUGUGAGGCUAUAAUGACAAAGCAGCCAUCUGCACACCAGGAAGGGGCACUCACCAGACAUCAGAGCUGCCGGCACCUUCACCUUGGACAUCCCAGCCUCCAGAACUGUAAAAAAUAAAUGUUUGUUGUUUAAGCCACCCAGUCUAUUUUAAUUUGUUAUAGCAGCCUAGUAUGGUUUGGCUGUGUCCCCACCUGAAUCUCACCUUGAAUUGUAAUAAUUCCCAUGUGUCAUGGGAGGGACACUGUGGGAGGUAAUUGAAUCAUGGGAUGGGUUUUCCCAUGGUGUUCUCAUGAUAGUGAAUAAGUCUCAUGAGAUCUGAUGGUUCCCCUGCACACAUUCUCUUGCCUGCCACCAUGUAAAAUGUGUCUUUGCUCCUUCUUCACCUUCCGCCACGAUUGUGAGACCUCCCCGCCAUGUGGAACUGUGAGUCCAUUAAACCUCUUUUUCUUUAUAA
rnacentral:lncRNA from 1 species